rnacentral:rRNA from 1 species
GACGAACGCUGGCGGCGCGCUUAACACAUGCAAGUCGAGCGAGAACCAGGCCUUCGGGCCUGGGGAAGCGGCGAACGGGUGAGUAACACGUGGGUAACCCACCCUUGGUACCGGGAUAGCCCGAGGAAACUCGGAUUAAUACCGGAUGGCCCAACAGCUUUUCGGAGCGGUUGGAAAAGGUAGCUUCGGCCUCCGACCAAGGACGGGCCCGCGGCGGAUUAGCUUGUUGGUGAGGUAACGGCUCACCAAGGCGACGAUCCGUAGCUGGUCUGAGAGGACGAUCAGCCACACUGGGACUGAGACACGGCCCAGACUCCUACGGGAGGCAGCAGUGGGGAAUAUUGCACAAUGGGCGAAAGCCUGAUGCAGCGACGCCGCGUGAGGGAUGACGGCC